rnacentral:rRNA from 1 species
UGAGGAAUAUUGGUCAAUGGGCGGAAGCCUGAACCAGCCAUCCCGCGUGAAGGAAGAAGGCCUUAUGGGUUGUAAACUUCUUUUCUGUUUGAAGAAUAAGCUUGUCGAGACAAGUGAUGCCGGUAGGACAGGAAUAAGCAUCGGCUAACUCCGUGCCAGCAGCCGCGGUAAUACGGAGGAUGCAAGCGUUAUCCGGAUUUAUUGGGUUUAAAGGGUGCGCAGGUGGUUUAAUAAGUCAGUGGUGAAAGUCUGCCGCUUAACGGUAGGAUUGCCAUUGAUACUGUUGGACUUGAAUAUGGAUGAGGUAGGCGGAAUGUGUAGUGUAGCGGUGAAAUGCUUAGAUAUUACACAGAACACCGAUUGCGAAGGCAGCUUACUAAUCCAUGAUUGACGCUGAUGCACGAAAGCGUGGGGAUCGAACAG